rnacentral:rRNA from 1 species
UACGGAGGGGGCUAGCGUUGUUCGGAAUUACUGGGCGUAAAGCGCACGUAGGCGGGCUGGAAAGUCAGGGGUGAAAUCCCGGGGCUCAACCCCGGAACUGCCUUUGAAACUUCCAGUCUUGAGGUCGAGAGAGGUGGGUGGAAUUCCGAGUGUAGAGGUGAAAUUCGUAGAUAUUCGGAGGAACACCGGUGGCGAAGGCGGCCCACUGGCUCGAUACUGACGCUGAGGUGAGAAAGCGUGGGGAGCAAACAGG